GAUGAAGAACGCAGCGAAAUGCGAUAAGUAGUGUGAAUUGCAGAAUUCCGUGAAUCAUCGAAUCUUUGAACGCACAUUGCGCCUUCUGGUAUUCCGGAAGGCAUGCCUGUUCGAGAGUCAUUAACAACCGUUUCGAUCCCUUUCUUUCAGAAAUUACAAAGAGGAAAAGGGUUUGGUUAUGGUGGAGGAGGGAAAGGGAGCGUUUAGCCUGUAAAAAAAGAGGCUGUGUUCCGCCUACCCCCCAAAAUUGUACAGGCGGUCGUGUGCGCCCACGCAUCGAGGUGUUGUAAAAGCUGCCACGGCACUUUUCACCUGUGCAGUGCGAGAUUGGCCAGCCGGUUUAAAAACCCCUCCAAACAAUCAAAGGUUGACCUCGGAUCAGGUAGGGAUACCCGCUGAACUUAAGCAUAUCAAUAAGCGGAGGA
rnacentral:misc_RNA from 1 species